rnacentral:rRNA from 1 species
UAGAGUUUGAUCAUGGCUCAGAGCGAACGCUGGCGGCAGGCUUAACACAUGCAAGUCGAGCGGGCGUAGCAAUACGUCAGCGGCAGACGGGUGAGUAACGCGUGGGAACGUACCUUUUGGUUCGGAACAACACAGGGAAACUUGUGCUAAUACCGGAUAAGCCCUUACGGGGAAAGAUUUAUCGCCAAAAGAUCGGCCCGCGUCUGAUUAGCUAGUUGGUGAGGUAACGGCUCACCAAGGCGACGAUCAGUAGCUGGUCUGAGAGGAUGAUCAGCCACAUUGGGACUGAGACACGGCCCAAACUCCUACGGGAGGCAGCAGUGGGGAAUAUUGGACAAUGGGCGCAAGCCUGAUCCAGCCAUGCCGCGUGAGUGAUGAAGGCCCUAGGGUUGUAAAGCUCUUUUGUGCGGGAAGAUAAUGACGGUACCGCAAGAAUAAGCCCCGGCUAACUUCGUGCCAGCAGCCGCGGUAGCCCA